rnacentral:rRNA from 1 species
UACAGAGGGUGCGAGCGUUAAUCGGAAUUACUGGGCGUAAAGCGCGCGUAGGCGGCUUGUUAAGUCAAAUGUGAAAUCCCCGAGCUUAACUUGGGCAUUCAUUCGAUACUGGCAAGCUAGAGUAUGGGAGAGGAAGGUAGAAUUCCAGGUGUAGCGGUGAAAUGCGUAGAGAUCUGGAGGAAUACCGAUGGCGAAGGCAGCCUUCUGGCCUAAUACUGACGCUGAGGUGCGAAAGCAUGGGGAGCAAACAGG